CCAAAAAUCUAGCCCCUCAAUCUUAUUUUCCUCCUCCUAACCCUAAACAAAAUAUUUUAACAACCUAGUAAAGAAGAUUAAAAGAUUUCUAAGAGCUAUAAAACGUACCGCAAGGGAAAGAUGAAAUAAAAAUGAAAUAAAUCUUAAGCACAAAAAAUUAGAGCCUAAUCCUCGUACCUUUUGCAUCAUGAUUUAGCUAGUCUAAUUGGGCAAAAAGACUUUAAGUCCAACCCCCCGAAACUGAGUGAGCUAAUUUGAGGCCGCUUAACGAGCUAACCCGUCUAUGUUGAAAAAUAGUGGGAUGACCCCAAAAUAGAGGUGACAGACCUAACGAACUCAGUCAUAGCUGGUUUCUCAAGAAAAGAAUUUAAGUCCAACCUAAAGUAAUCUAAAUCCCCACAAAUUUUUCCCCCACCUUUAGAGCAAUUCAAAUAAGGUACAGCCUAUUUGAUACAGGAUUCAACCUUCAACAACGGGUAAAACACACUCUCACCUUUAAGUGGGCCUAAGAGCAGCCACCUUUUAAAAAGCGUCAAAGCUUAUAUUAUCACCUAAUACGUAAACCCCUAUUGACCCCUUUAACCCUAUUGAGAACUUCUAUAAAUUUAUAGAACCUUUUAUGCUAAAACUAGUAACAAGAGAUUCCUCUCUCUAUGAUGCAAACUCAAGCCAGCUUGAACCUAUCACUGACACCCAACAGACUUAAACCAAAGUAUUAACUUUACUAGAAAACCAUACUUUAUUUCCUGUUAACCUAACACAAGAGCAUCUCAAGAAAGAUUAAAAGAGGAAGAAGGAACUCGGCAAACAUUAAACCCGCCUGUUUACCAAAAACAUCACCUCCUGUCCCCCCCAUAAGAGGCCCAGCCUGCCCAGUGACUUUGUUCAACGGCCGCGGUAUCCUAACCGUGCGAAGGUAGCGUAAUCACUUGUCUUCUAAAUAGAGACUAGUAUGAAAGGCAUCACGAGGAUUAAGCUGUCUCCUUCCUCUAAUCAGUGAACCUAAUCUCCCCGUGAAGAAGCGGGGAUAAUAUUAUAAGACGAGAAGACCCUAUGGAGCUUAAAACACUAUUACACGUGCCACUCCACCCUAUCACUGAGGUUUUUAACCCCACAGCACGCUGAUUAUACGUUUUUGGUUGGGGUGACCGCGGAGAAUAAACUAUCCUCCACGAUGAAAAGGACAUUUUAUCCUUAAAAAAUAAGCCACAACUUUACCCAUCAAUAAAUUGACAUACAUUGACCCAAUACUUUGAUCAACGAACCAAGUUACCCUAGGGAUAACAGCGCAAUCCACUUUAAGAGCCCCUAUCGACAAGUGGGCUUACGACCUCGAUGUUGGAUCAGGGUAUCCUAGUGGUGCAGCCGCUACUAAAGGUUCGUUUGUUCAACGAUUAAAACCCACGUGAUCUGAGUUCAGACCGGAGUAAUCCAGGUCAGUUUCUAUCUAUACAGAGCUCUUUUCAGUACGAAAGGACCAAAACAGCACGGC
rnacentral:rRNA from 1 species